GAUGAACGCUGGCGGCGUGCUUAACACAUGCAAGUCGAACGGAAAGGCCCAAGCUUGCUUGGGUACUCGAGUGGCGAACGGGCGAGUAACACGUGGGUGAUCUGCCCUGCACUUCGGGAUAAGCCUGGGAAACUGGGUCUAAUACUGGAUAGGACCACUUCUUGGAUGGUGUGGUGGAAAGUUUUUUCGGUGUGGGAUGAGCUCGCGGCCUAUCAGCUUGUUGGUGGGGUAAUGGCCUACCAAGGCGUCGACGGGUAGCCGGCCUGAGAGGGUGUACGGCCACAUUGGGACUGAGAUACGGCCCAGACUCCUACGGGAGGCAGCAGUGGGGAAUAUUGCACAAUGGGCGCAAGCCUGAUGCAGCGACGCCGCGUGGGGGAUGACGGCCUUCGGGUUGUAAACUCCUUUCGCUAGGGACGAAGCGUUUUUGUGACGGUACCUGGAGAAGAAGCACCGGCUAACUACGUG
rnacentral:rRNA from 1 species